GGAUGUGGUGGGCGCAUUCGCGACGGUUUGUCGCAUUUUAAAUUUCUGGGAGGGUUGACAGAUCCAGAGCUCUUUCUUGAUUCUGUGGAUUUCGGUGCAUGUCCGUUCUUAGUUGUUAAAGUGGUUUGUCUGGUUAAUUCCGAUAACAAACGAGACUCUAGUCAAUCAAAUACGUGCGUGGUCCUCUGCACCUUGCACCCUUCUUAGAAGGAGAAGCGGCUCCUAUACUUCGUCUCUCCUUAUUAUAUAUAUAUGGACUACUGUUAGCCGCGCGUGCUCAAAGCGCGAGCUAGUCGCUUUGAAUGAAGUCACGGCGGCUACACGAGCGCUCGUGCAGCGAGUGCUCUAGUCAAGGCAGUCAAGGCUGGCCGCUCACGCUAACACAGCCUUCGCGGUUAGUUCAUGCUAGGGUGAGACGAAGUAUAGCUAUAGCCGCACGAAACAGAGCAAUAAAAGGUCCGUGAUUCCCUUAGAUGUCCGGGGUCGCACGCGCGCUACACUGAAGGAAGCAGCGUGUUUUUAUCCCGCCCUGUGAAGACAGGAAGCU
rnacentral:ncRNA from 1 species